rnacentral:rRNA from 1 species
GAUGAACGCUAGCUACAGGCUUAACACAUGCAAGUCGAGGGGAAACGAUAUUGGAAGCUUGCUUUUUCUAGGCGUCGACCGGCGCACGGGUGAGUAACGCGUAUCCAACCUGCCCACCACUUGGGGAUAACCUUGCGAAAGUAAGACUAAUACCCAAUGAUAUCUCUAGAAGACAUCUGAAAGGGAUUAAAGAUUUAUCGGUGAAGGAUGGGGAUGCGUCUGAUUAGCUUGUUGGCGGGGUAACGGCCCACCAAGGCGACGAUCAGUAGGGGUUCUGAGAGGAAGGUCCCCCACAUUGGAACUGAGACACGGUCCAAACUCCUACGGGAGGCAGCAGUGAGGAAUAUUGGUCAAUGGGCGAGAGCCUGAACCAGCCAAGUAGCGUGCAGGAUGACGGCCCUAUGGGUUGUAAACUGCUUUUAUAAGGGAAUAAAGUGAGCCUCGUGAGGCUUUUUGCAUGUACCUUAUGAAUAAGGACCGGCUAAUUCCGUGCCAGCCGCCGCGGUAA